GCUCGACAAGCAGCGGAAGGCGGGAAUCAACCUGCACUAAAAUCCCAUCCUUAUGCUUUAUUUGAUGCAUCUGUUUCAUUGCAGGGUCCUCUUCAUAAAGUUUACCACGGGAAGGAACAAGAUUAUGAGUUGAAGGUUGCCGAAUGUGAAAGGCGAGCCAUCGGUUUUCUUUACAAGGCAAUAAGCAAAGAUUCGAUUCUUGUUAUGUAUAGAAAGAUAGAGGACAAAUCAAAUUUUUGUUGGUUUGUAUGGAUUGUAACAUUUCCAUGGUUUGCAUUUGAUUUGUUUUAUAGGUUAUAUGUAUUUUUGCUUUCAUAUUCAAUGACACAUGACAUUUUUUGGC